UACGUAGGGUCCGAGCGUUGUCCGGAAUUACUGGGCGUAAAGAGCUCGUAGGUGGUUUGUCGCGUUGUUCGUGAAAACUCACAGCUCAACUGUGGGCGUGCGGGCGAUACGGGCAGACUUGAGUACUGCAGGGGAGACUGGAAUUCCUGGUGUAGCGGUGGAAUGCGCAGAUAUCAGGAGGAACACCAAUGGCGAAGGCAGCUCUCUGGGACGGUACUGACGCUGAGACGCGAAAGCGUGGGGAGCGAACAGG
rnacentral:rRNA from 1 species